rnacentral:misc_RNA from 1 species
GGUUCCUCCAUGAUACAUAUAAUAGUUGAUGAAGGUUCCAUUCUUCCUUGCAAUGAAGAGAGCAACAUGAUAUGCCAUGUCUUCUGCUGAUCUUAGUGUUGCAUUCUGACCAUACACUUGAUAGAAGCUUGUCCAGUUCUCAGUCCAAAUAGAUGGCUUGUUUGGUGAAUUAGGCCCUGUAAAUGUUUCUCCACAUCUCAACCCAUUGCAUGCAUUAAUCUGUAGCAUGUAACAGGAUCUGGAGCAUCAUCUUGCUUGCACAUGCACCAUGGGACACCAGUUUGAAGUCCAACAGCCAUCUCCGCCGCCCACGACACAUAAGGAGGACCAUCUUCUCCAAAUGCUUUUUCUACAUUUUGAUAUUCAUUCUCUAUCUGCAUGUACACAAAAAAAUCAACUUCUAUACACUGACUAUAUACAUCCUUUUUUUUAAAACAUUAGUCGUAUAAUCUAAAAGAUAACUACAUGAAAAAUCAGAAAUAAUGUGUGUUAUAUGUUAAAUUUC